CCCUUAGAUGUUCUGGGCCGCACGCGUGCUACACUGAGUGGAUCAGCGGGUCAGGUUGCGCGAAAGUGUUUCCUAAUCUUUAAAUCCGCUCGUGAUGGGGAUUGACGGUUGCAAUUUUCCGUCAUGAACGAGGAAUACCUUGUAAGCGCGGGUCAACAUCCCGCGCUGAAUACGUCCCUGCCCUUUGUACACACCGCCCGUCGCUCCUACCGAUUGAGUGGUCCGGUGAGGCUUUGGGAUCUGAGCGGAAAGAGCGUUUCGCUGUUUCUGCCCGGAAAACUCAGUCGAACCUUAUCAUUUAGAGGAAGGAGAAGUCGUAACA
rnacentral:rRNA from 1 species